rnacentral:rRNA from 1 species
UAACGCGAAGAACCUUACCUGGACUUGACAUUGAUAGGAUCCUGUAGAGAUAUGGGAGUGCUAGCUUGCUAGAGCUUGAAAACAGGUGCUGCACGGCUGUCGUCAGCUCGUGUCGUGAGAUGUUGGGUUAAGUCCCGCAACGAGCGCAACCCACGUCGUUAGUUGCUAACAGUUAGGCUGAGAACUCUAACGAGACUGCCUUCGUAAGGAGGAGGAAGGUGUGGACGACGUCAAGUCAUCAUGGCCCUUACGUCCAGGGCUACACACGUGCUACAAUGGGAUAUACAAAGAGCAGCGAUACAGUGAUGUGGAGCAAAUCUCAUAAAAUAUCUCCCAGUUCGGAUUGUAGUCUGCAACUCGACUACAUGAAGUUGGAAUCGCUAGUAAUCGUAGAUCAGCAUUGCUACGGUGAAUACGUUCCCGGGUCUUGNACACACCGA